rnacentral:rRNA from 1 species
AUACACCUCUCCGAGCACACGAGACGCUUCGAAAUCUCGUAGUGGCGGACGGGUGAGUAAUGUCUGGGAAACUGCCCGAUGGAGGGGGAUAACUACUGGAAACGGUAGCUAAUACCGCAUACCAUCGGAUGUGCCCAGAUGGGAUUAGCUAGUAGGUGGGGUAAUGGCUCACCUCGGCGACGAUCCCUAGCUGGUCUGAGAGGAUGACCAGCCACACUGGAACUGAGAUACGGUCCAGACUCCUACGGUAGGCAGCAGUGGGGAAUAGUGCACAAUGGGCGCAAGCCUGAUGCAGCCAUGCCGCGUGUAUGAAGAAGGCCUUCGGGUUGUAAAGUACUUUCAGCGAGGAGGCGUUACUCGCAGAAGAAGCACCGGCUAACUCCGUGCCAGCAGCCGCGGUAAUAC